GGAGAGGUGGCCGAGUGGUUUAAGGCGCACGCUUGGAAAGCGUGUGUAGGGGAAACCUUACCGGGGGUUCGAAUCCCCCCCUCUCCGCCA
rnacentral:tRNA from 1 species